CGCAUCUAUUCAAAUCCCCAAAAUCUCCCAAAAAUAAAAAAAAAAAAAAAAAAAAAUGCAAAUUAGGGAUGAUGGAACCUUGUGAGUUUUGGUUUUGUUAUUCCGACAUGAUAUACUCUAAAGAACUGUCAAGAACGAGAAAUAUGUGUACAAUGGAAGGAAUUCGUUACUUCUUCAUUUGAAGAAUAACCAUGUUGGCUGGAUGAACUUCUUAAUGCACCAGAAAAACAUGUACAAAGAGGCCAUCUACGCUCAUCAAGUGACUCAUUCACAUAUUUGGAGGCGGUCAAUGCUCCUAAACACAAAAUAUGUUGUAAAAAAUGAGCACGAGAUGAGACGUUUGACUUCUGCUCCUUCAUGGGGGUCUCAUAUUCUGUUUUUUUAUAUAAAGAUGAUCGAUGUACACCCGUUUACAUGGAACUGAAUGUUGUAAUUAAAGAUAAUACUCGGCAUGGUUGUCGAGGAGGAUGGUUGCUAAUGCAGGUAGUGUUGAAAAUGUAAAUGAUUCAUAAUACCAUGUCCAUGAAACGAUGAUCAUUGUAUGUUUAUAAUAAGUGUUCAAUGGAAGUGGUCCUUUCUACUA